rnacentral:misc_RNA from 1 species
GAUGAAGAACGCAGUGAAAUGCGAUAAGUAGUGUGAAUUGCAGAAUUCAGUGAAUCAUCGAAUCUUUGAACGCACAUUGCGCCCCUUGGUAUUCCAUGGGGCAUGUCUGUUCGAGCGUCAUUUGUACCUUCAAGCUUUGCUUGGUGUUGGGUGUUUGUCUCGCCUUUGCGUGUAGACUCGCCUUAAAAUAAUUGGCAGCCGGCGUAUUGAUUUCGGAGCGCAGUACAUCUCGCGCUUUGCACUCAUAACGACAGCGUCCAAAAGUACAUUUUACACUCUUGACCUCGGUUCAGGUAGGGAUACCCGCUGAACUUAAGCAUAUCAAUAAGCGGAGGA